UACGUAGGGGGCGAGCGUUGUCCGGAAUUAUUGGGCGUAAAGGGCUCGCAGGCGGUCUUCUAAGUCUGAUGUGAAAUCUCGUAGCUUAACUACGAGCGGUCAUUGGAAACUGGGAGACUUGAGGACAGAAGAGGAGAGUGGAAUUCCACGUGUAGCGGUGAAAUGCGUAGAGAUGUGGAGGAACACCAGUGGCGAAGGCGACUCUCUGGUCUGUAACUGACGCUGAGGAGCGAAAGCGUGGGGAGCGAACAGG
rnacentral:rRNA from 1 species